rnacentral:rRNA from 1 species
UACGGAGGGUGCAAGCAUUGAUCGGAAUUACUGGGCGUAAAGGGCGCGUAGGCGGCCAAGAAAGUCAGAUGUGAAAUUCCGGGGCUCAACCCCGGAGCUGCAUUUGAAACUUCAUGGCUAGAGUACAGUUAGGGUUAACGGAAUUCCACGUGUAGCGGUGAAAUGCGUAGAUAUGUGGAAGAACACCGGUGGUGAAGACGGUUAACUGGGCUGAAACUGACGCUGAGGCGCGAAAGCUAGGGGAGCAAACAGG